rnacentral:rRNA from 1 species
ACGUUAGCGGCGGACGGGUGAGUAACACGUGGGUAACCUACCUAUAAGACUGGGAUAACUCCGGGAAACCGGGGCUAAUACCGGAUAAUACAUGAAACCGCAUGGUUUCAUGAUGAAAGACGGUUUUGCUGUCACUUAUAGAUGGACCCGCGGCGUAUUAGCUAGUUGGUAAGGUAACGGCUUACCAAGGCAACGAUACGUAGCCGACCUGAGAGGGUGAUCGGCCACACUGGAACUGAGACACGGUCAG